rnacentral:rRNA from 1 species
CCAAUAGCGUAUAUUAAAGUUGUUGCAGUUAAAAAGCUCGUAGUUGAAUUUCGGGGUUAGUAGGUUGGUCAUGCCUCUGGUAUGUACUGGUCUCACUGAUUCCUCCUUCCUGAUGAUCCGUAAUGCCAUUUAUUUGGUGUUGCGGGGAAUUUGGACUGUUACUUUGAAAAAAUUAGAGUGUUUAAAGCAAGCUACCGCUUGAAUACAUUAGCAUGGAAUAAUGAAAUAGGACGUUCGAUCCUAUUUUGUUGGUUUCUAGGAUUGACGUAAUGAUUAAUAGGGAUAGUUGGGGGCAUUAGUAUUCAAUUGUCAGAGGUGAAAUUCUUGGAUUUAUUGAAGACUAACUACUGCGAAAGCAUUUGCCAAGGAUGUUUUCAUUAAUCAAGAACGAAAGUAGGGGAUCGAAGACGAUCAGAUACCGUCGUAGUCCUAACCAUAAACUAUGCCGACUAGGGAUCGGAUGAUGUUAAUUUUUUAAUGACUCAUUCGGCGCCUUACG